ACUCUCUGAUAGGGAGAGAAUGAUACAGAAACAAUAAAGACCAGUUAAGGGAAAAACUGGUUCCUUUUGGUCAAGAAAAUGAAAUGUCUGACUUGAGUGGAAAUAGAAACAACUUAAUCCAGUGAGGACAAUAAAUCACCUGAUUACGGAAACGCCCCUCAGAAAGGCAGGCUCUGUAAGCCUCGAGGAAGAGAUAAGUGCAAUAAUUAUGGCUUUAAUGAGACAAUGAACUUUUACUUCCCAGAAUUUCCUCCCCCAUCACAGUCCUUAUGAUCCGUCCGGAUGUUCUGGCGUUCCCGUGGCUUAUCCCACAGUCCAAACGUGCCUUCAGUGGAAAAUGAAACCCGGAAGUUCAUCCAUGAAGAAAAAGCUCCGUCAGCAGUAUCAGCUGACUGCCUCGAACUCUCCAGGUGAUUGUUUGCUCCAUGCAGUGAGCACCCCAUUUGAUGGUCUUAUCUCCAUCUGUUGCCCUGAACUCUCCCAGCUUAGAACUCCAUCUGUGCAUUUCCUCUGUCGGUUUCUGCUGGAUAUUGUCAAUACCUAAUGUACUGAUGUUUUGCACUCUGUCUCUCUGUCUCUGUCUGUGUCUCUCUCCUUCCCUCCCUCUCUUCCUUCCCUUUUCUCUCCCCUGCAAAAGUAAGGGCCAUAAAAUACAUCCACCUAAAUUUUUUUUUGAGCCAGGGCCUCUCACUGGACCUGAAGUUCACCAAUGCAUCGAGACAGGCUGCCAGCAGGCUCUAGGAAUCAUCAUUCCUCCUCCUUCGUGCUGGCCUUCCAGGCAUGCCCAGCUUUUCAAAUGGGUGCUAGGGAUCCAAAAUCCAGCCCUCAUGCCUGAGAAGCGCCUAUUUGGCCAAUUAAGCCAUCUCCUCAGUCUUGAGAAGGACUGACUUGUACAUCAACUCUGAGUAUGAUCUCAAAUGGAAAUGGGUGAUUCCUAAGCAAAAAGGCAUAAGAAAAAUGUCUGGCCUGGCCUAUGACCAUCAUCUGGAUGUAUCUUAGACACCUCUAGCUAUAGAAAACAUUAGUAACCCAGGGGCCUGGUGGCUGUCUCUGCAAUCUAUCAAAAUGUGUACACCCAAGUCACCUUUCCUGCUGCUGAUUGAGUUGGGACAUGAUUUAAGAGAUCCACUGAUAAGAGAAAUUACUUUUCUUCUGACGGUGGACUCUGAGACCAAAAUACUCAGGCCACUCUGCCAACCUUCUUGGUUGUAUUCUAGGAUGCUCCAAGCAACCUUCCUCCCUUCUGUCCUUCACACACACUUCCACUCCAGCAUUGCCUAACAUUGUCUAUAUUUUCUCCCGUGGGCAUUCUCCUUAAUAUAAUCCUUGUUCCCUUUCUGACCGACCAAGCUUAAUCCAUACCCCUCUCUAGGUCUUGCUUCGGUUUGCUAGCCCAGGUGUGAGUUUUCUCCCAUGCUGUUUUGCAUUUUGUCAAGGACCAGCCUCAGCUUGGAGAAGGGUUCUGAGAGACGGGGUGUUUGAGAGCAGAGAAACAAAUGAUUCAAAGUCAACUCAUGGGUUACUAGCUGGUGGCCUACGCUCUGCUCAAACCAGCUUUCUAGCCAGUUUUCUCUCUGUUCUGCUUUUCCUGGGGAUCUCCAGAUAGCUCUUUCUCGAUUUUCUCAUCGAGACAGAUUUCCAAGUAGUUCUCUCUUGUUCUAAAACACUCUCUGGAUAGCUCAUCUAGUGGAGAGCAUAAGCCCACUCUUUUAUUUUACAUAUCAAUUCAGUCAUUCACUGCAGGUUUCCUUUUGAUUAUUCUACAAAUCAGCACCCAAAGACAUCAGACCCUCGAUUCUCAUUAGACUGCAAGCACACAUUUUUUUUAACCUUUCAAAAGAAUCCAGAGAUCUGCCUGCCUUUGUUAAACACUGGGAAUAAAAUAGCUGGGUGGAACCCCACCCUGAAAUUACGGUUUCUACCUUGCCUGGCCCUGGACCUAAAUUCCUUCUGUCUCAGGCUCACUUUGAACUCAGGAAUCCGUCUGCAUUUGUAAGUAUAAACAAAGAAACUGAGCUAGAUGGGAUCUCCUGAGAUCUCUAUCUCCUUCCUUAGCAUCUUUCUGACAACUUGGUUCUCAGUGCAGCUGCUUUUGCUCCUUUAGUUCCUUGAAGCCCCUCAUCUAAUUCAUACUACAUCCUUAUAUUUUGCAUAGUUGAAAAAUUGUAUACUUUUGGAUUCAUGAAUUUGGAGCUCUUUCCCACAGCCUUAAGGGUUGUCCUGAAGGUCCCAUCGUUCACCAUUUUGCUGAGACAUUAGGCACACUUUCAUCUCCCAGACUCAUGCUACCUCUGAUUGCCAUGGAGACAUUAACAUUAACAGGUAGGAUGACAUUCCACAAAAGAGGAAUGAGGAAAUACGUGCAUUAUUAUACAAACAAGCCUUACACCCAAAGCAGCCAUGUGGAGGCCCAUAUGCUGGUGACCCUGUUCCAGGGACUGGGACCAUAUCAUUCUACCCCUACCAAAGCUAUGCUGGACCCAGCAGCAUUUCAAGCCAGCUUUAUUGGAACGGUAAGUUUUUUCAUCCAGAUUCUCUGUUCUGAUUAUUAACAAACCUUAGUCUUUUCCCUCAAUCAUUUCUGUUUGUGGUAUACCCUGCCUGUGAUGAUUGUUGUGCUGGCUAAUUUUAUGUCAAUUUGAUACAAACUAGAGUCAUUAGAUAGGGGGAAACAUCAAUUGAGAAGAUGCCUCCAUAAAAUAAAUCUGUAGGCAAGCCUAUAGGACAUUUUCUUAAAUGGUGAUCCAUGAGGGAGGUCUCAGCCCAAUGUGGAAGGUGCCAUCCCUGAUCAGAUGGUCCUGGGUUAUAUAAGAAGGCAGGUUGAGCAAUCCCUAAGGAGCAAACCAGUAAGCAGCACUCCUCCAUGACCUCUGCAUCAGCUCCUACCUCCAGGUUCCAGUUCUGAAUUUCUGUCCUGACUUCCUUCAAUGAUAAACAGUUAUAAGGAGUGUAAGCAAAAUAAACCUCUUCUUAC
ensembl:lincRNA Gm15226 predicted gene 15226